rnacentral:rRNA from 1 species
CCAUACCGCGUGCGUGAAGAAGGCCUUCGGGUUGUAAAGCCCUUUUGUUGGGAAAGCGGUACCCAAAGAAUAAGCACCGGCUAACUUCGUGCCAGCAGCCGCGGUAAUACGAAGGGUGCAAGCGUUACUCGGAAUUACUGGGCGUAAAGCGUGCGUAGGUGGUUGUUUAAGUCUGUCGUGAAAGCCCUGGGCUCAACCUGGGAAUUGCGAUGGAAACUGGGCGACUAGAGUGUGGUAGAGGGUAGUGGAAUUUCCGGUGUAGCAGUGAAAUGCGUAGAGAUCGGAAGGAACAUCUGUGGCGAAGGCGACUACCUGGACCAAACUGACACUGAGGCACGAAAGCGUGGGGAGCAAACAGGAUUAGAUACCCUUGUAGUC